rnacentral:misc_RNA from 1 species
ACCACAACUAGUCACUGACACGACUACCACCACAACUAGUCACUUACACGACUACCACCGUCACCACCCUGGUACUUGUACAGAGGUCUCUACAUAAUGUCUGGUGGAUCUCGGAAAAACACUUCGGCAGAACAAUACUGUGUUUCAGAAGACCAGAGAAGGGUAAAGGUCCGCAGGUCACAAGAGGCGAGGAAGAGGGCUAAGAAAUAUGAGGAAGAUCUGCGACAAGCCAUCAUCAAUAAUACGGCACAAGUUGAGAAGCUCAGAGCUGAGAAGGCCAAGUUUUCACACAAGAUCAACAGGUUAGAAGACUUACUUUAUUGUCAAGGAGAAUCUCACCUGGUGACGGACGCCCCAGCUGCCAGCUGGACUAACUCACAGGAGCAGAGUCCAUACGGGUCCUCGUCUUCCUCUAUGUUUGAAAUGUUGUCAGAUUUGUCUCUCCAAGAUGAAAGUUUGUCUACAGCUUCCCUGGUCGUCCCAGACGGUCACAGUGGCCAGUGUCACGGUCUUCCUGAUACUACUGCAGAAGGAAACUGGUGGGGGUUGCCCAGCGACUCAUCUUCAUCCUCCAGUUUUCCAAAUUUCUCUUGGGAAACGACAAGUUUUGAAACCUCCGCCCCUCACCCAAGCUUCUCAGACACCAGUUAUUCCUGGAAUUCGGUUCAGGAUCCUUCACUCCAGGACUCUGAAUCUACUCUCUUCCCUAACCAGUCAGUGAUGACACUGGGGCAGACAGUCCCUCCCUCGGGAGGCCCACACGCCUUCCCUACUCCUGGCCCUUCCACUUACCUGCCGCAGUCGUCAGAAGGGGGCGACGCAGCCCACACUGCAGAGGCCAGGAAGACCUCCUCAUCCAGACGACAGAAGAACCGAGUGUAUUCUUACCAGUUACCGCCACAACAAGACCCACAGUUGGAGGCCAGAAGACUGAAAGCUGUGCGGGCACACCACAGCAGGCAGCAAGAUAAGUGUUGUAAGCAGCAGCUGCAGGAAGAGAUCCAGAGAGUUACGGAUGAGGUAACGAAACUCAACCAAGAGAAAGAACGCAUUCAGGAACACAUAGACACAUUACAAAGGCAAUACAAACAGUUACCAACAACUAGUGAUACUUACUCAGAGUUUUAUUGACUGAUGUAACACCUAGCGAGUGUGUUUCUUCAUAACAUUAAGUUUAUUGUUUAAAUGUUAAAAUGUUGACAAUAAAAGAUCUCAGUGUAAGAGUAAAGUGUUCAGUAUUAACAAGUGUUUGUUAAGAUAAUGUUCAUGUUAGGUGACACAGGUAUUACUUAUGUCUUGUACCGUAUUAGAAAUAUUUAUUUUAUGAAGGAAUAAGUUAUUAGUGUUUGUAAUAGUGUCAGGUUGACACAUGAUACACCUGUGACAGGUGUAGGUAAUAGUGUCAGGUUGACACAUGAUACACCUGUGACAGGUGUAGGUAAUAGUGUCAGGUUGACACAUGAUACACCUGUGACAGGUGUAGGUAAUAGUGUCAGGUUGACACAUGAUACACCUGUGACAGGUGUAGGUAAUAGUGUCAGGUUGACACAUGAUACACCUGUGACAGGUGUAGGUAAUAGUGUCAGGUUGACACAUGAUACACCUGUGACAGGUGUAGGUAAUAGUGUCAGGUUGACACAUGAUACACCUGCGACAGGUGUAGGUAAUAGUGUCAGGUUGACACAUGAUACACCUGUGACAGGUGUAGGUAAUAGUGUCAGGUUGACACAUGAUACACCUGUGACAGGUGUAGGUAAUAGUGUCAGGUUGACACAUGAUACACCUGUGACAGGUGUAGGUAAUAGUGUCAGGUUGACACAUGAUACACCUGUGACAGGUGUAGGUAAUAGUGUCAGGUUGACACAUGAUACACCUGUGACAGGUGUAGGUAAUAGUGUCAGGUUGACACAUGAUACACCUGUGACAGGUGUAGGUAAUAGUGUCAGGUUGACACAUGAUACACCUGUGACAGGUGUAGGUAAUAGUGUUAGGUUGACACAGGUGUUACUAUCGUUAUAAAUGAUAAAAUUAUUUUACUAAAUAAAAGUGAAGACAAUA